ensembl:misc_RNA Y_RNA Y RNA
GGCUGGCCCAAAGGCAGUGCGCUAUCUCGAUUGAUUGUUCACAGUCAGGUACAGAACAAACUCCUUGUUCUCCUCUUGCCCUGCUUCUCACUACUGCACUUGACUAGUCUUUA